UCGAUGCAACGCGAAGAACCUUACCUGGUCUUGACAUCCACGGAAGUUCUCAGAGAUGAGAAUGUGCCUUCGGGAACCGUGAGACAGGUGCUGCAUGGCUGUCGUCAGCUCGUGUUGUGAAAUGUUGGGUUAGGUCCCGCAACGAGCGCAACCCUUAUCCUUUGUUGCCAGCGGUCCGGCCGGGAACUCAAAGGAGACUGCCAGUGAUAAACUGGAGGAAGGUGGGGAUGACGUCAAGUCAUCAUGGCCCUUACGACCAGGGCUACACACGUGCUACAAUGGCGCAUACAAAGAGAAGCGACCUCGCGAGAGCAAGCGGACCUCAUAAAGUGCGUCGUAGUCCGGAUUGGAGUCUGCAACUCGACUCCAUGAAGUCGGAAUCGCUAGUAAUCGUGGAUCAGAAUGCCACGGUGAUACGUUCCCGGGCCUUGUACACACCGCCCGUCACACCAUGGGAGUGGGUUGCAAAAGAAGUAGGUAGCUUAACCUUCGGGAGGGCGCUUACCAC
rnacentral:rRNA from 1 species